rnacentral:rRNA from 1 species
GUAGGUGGCAAGCGUUGUCCGGAAUUAUUGGGCGUAAAGCGCGCGCAGGGCGGUCCUUUAAGUCUGAUGUGAAAGCCCACGGCUCAACCGUGGAGGGUCAUUGGAAACUGGGGGACUUGAGUACAGAAGAGGAAAGCGGAAUUCCAAGUGUAGCGGUGAAAUGCGUAGAGAUUUGAAGGAACACCAGUGGCGAAGGCGGCUUUCUGGUCUGUAACUGACGCUGAGGCGCGAAAGCGUGGGGAGCAAACAGGAUUAGAUACCCUGGUAGUCCACGCCGUAAACGAUGAGUGCUAAGUGUUAGGGGGUUUCCGCCCCUUAGUGCUGCAGCUAACGCAUUAAGCACUCCGCCUGGGGAGUACGGCCGCAAGGCUG